UACGGGGGGGGUAAGCGUUGUUCGGAAUUACUGGGCGUAAAGGGCUCGUAGGCGGCCAACUAAGUCAGACGUGAAAUCCCUCAGCUUAACUGGGGAACUGCGUCCGAUACUGGAUGGCUUGAGUUUGGGAGAGGGAUGCGGAAUUCCAGGUGUAGCGGUGAAAUGCGUAGAUAUCUGGAGGAACACCGGUGGCGAAGGCGGCAUCCUGGACCAACACUGACACUGAGGAGCGAAAGCCAGGGGAGCAAACGGG
rnacentral:rRNA from 1 species